rnacentral:rRNA from 1 species
AGAGUUUGAUCCUGGCUCAGGACGAACGCUGGCGGCGUGCUUAACACAUGCAAGUCGAACGAUGAAGCUGGAGCUUGCUCCAGUGGAUUAGUGGCGAACGGGUGAGUAACACGUGAGAAAUCUGCCCCUGACUCUGGGAUAACUGCGGGAAACUGUAGCUAAUACCGGAUACUUUCCCCGGUGGGCAUCCACUGGGGAAGAAAGAAUUUCGGUCAGGGAGGAUCUCGCGGCCUAUCAGCUUGUUGGUGAGGUAACGGCUCACCAAGGCGACGACGGGUAACCGGCCUGAGAGGGUGACCGGUCACACUGGGACUGAGACACGGCCCAGACUCCUACGGGAGGCAGCAGUGGGGAAUAUUGCACAAUGGGCGCAAGCCUGAUGCAGCAACGCCGCGUGAGGGAUGACGGCCUUCGGGUUGUAAACCUCUUUUAGCAGGGAAGAAGCGAAAGUGACGGUACCUGCAGAAAAAGCACCGGCUAACUACGUGCCAGCAGCCGCGGUAAUACGUAGGGUGCAAGCGUUGUCCGGAAUUAUUGGGCGUAAAGAGCUCGUAGGCGGUUUGUCACGUCUGCUGUGAAAAUCCAAGGCUCAACCUUGGACUUGCAGUGGGUACGGGCAGGCUAGAGUGCGGUAGGGGAGAUGGGAAUUCCUGGUGUAGCGGUGGAAUGCGCAGAUAUCAGGAGGAACACCAAUGGCGAAGGCACAUCUCUGGGCCGUAACUGACGCUGAGGAGCGAAAGCGUGGGGAGCGAACAGGAUUAGAUACCCUGGUAGUCCACGCCGUAAACGGUGGGUGCUAGCUGUGGGCCACAUUCCACGUGGUCCGUGACGAAGUUAACACAUUAAGCACCCCGCCUGGGGAGUACGGCCGCAAGGCUAAAACUCAAAGGAAUUGACGG